AGGGUGGUUUUGAUACCACUUAUCAGUAGAAUUUGAAGGAAAAUGGUUGGAAAGCUACCAUAUUAGAGCCUCUCAACUACAUAGUUCUCCCCAAACUCUCAAUUGUAGACUUUCUCUUCCACUGCAGCCCAAAUCAAUUCUCCAGCCUCUAUUGUGCACUUAAAGUGUUUGACAAAACUCCCUACCCAAUUAUCAACUCCUCAACCGCGCUUAAAGACUCUCAACUGUAGGCUUUCUUUUCCUCUGCGCUUUAAGUGAAUUCUCCAACUUCCAUUGCGCGUUUAAAGUGUGCGAGAAAAUUCCCAACCCAACUCUCAACUCUUCGACCACGCUUAAAUUGUUUGAGAAAUCUAUCAUCGAUGUUUACAAGUGAAUCAGUAUGGAUUUGCAAGAAUGAGUCGAUCAUUUUGAAGAGGUCGUGGCUGAAGCAGAGCAAAGAAGAGAAAGGUGUGGUAUUGGUGCUAGAAAGAGAAGAGAACAAAUGAGUACUGAAGAAGAGAAAGAUGCAUAUCUUGCAGCAACAACGCGUACAAACAGCAAAUAAUGAUGCACCGAGACAAUUGAGCAUCUAAGAGAAAUUAAUCGUCCUACUCGCGCAAGACAAACGAUGAUGGUAGAAGACGACGAUUACAAAGAACCAAUAAUGCCAGUAUUGUCAUGCAUUCAAGAGGAGGAGUUCAUGACAGUACGUAAUCCUUCUCAAUUAAUUUCCUGCAUCAGGUCUGGCAUUUGGUAAUGCAUCUCAAAUACCACUGAUUCACAAUUCAUUUCUGCUCCUAUCUAUUUCACAUUCUUGAACUUACAGUCUCUUAUGGGCUAUUCAUUUGUUUCCUGAACCUAAACUGUAAAUUUACUGAAUUUUCUAACAGUAAACAACCCUACCAUAAAUGAGAGAGUAGGUCGUUUAUCUCGCUCAAUACCGCUACCAAUGACAACAGU